AAUAGAUACCCGGGUAGUCCACGCCGUAAACGAUGAGUGCUAAGUGUUAGAGGGUUUCCGCCCUUUAGUGCUGCAGCUAACGCAUUAAGCACUCCGCCUGGGGAGUACGGUCGCAAGACUGAAACUCAAAGGAAUUGACGGGGGCCCGCACAAGCGGUGGAGCAUGUGGUUUAAUUCGAAGCAACACGAAGAACCUUACCAGGUCUUGACAUCCUCUGACAACUCUAGAGAUAGAGCGUUCCCCUUCGGGGGACAGAGUGACAGGUGGUGCAUGGUUGUCGUCAGCUCGUGUCGUGAGAUGUUGGGUUAAGUCCCGCAACGAGCGCAACCCUUGAUCUUAGUUGCCAGCAUUUAGUUGGGCACUCUAAGGUGACUGCCGGUGACAAACCGGAGGAAGGUGGGGAUGACGUCAAAUCAUCAUGCCCCUUAUGACCUGGGCUACACACGUGCUACAAUGGAUGGUACAAAGGGCUGCAAGACCGCGAGGUCAAGCCAAUCCCAUAAAACCAUUCUCAGUUCGGA
rnacentral:rRNA from 1 species